UUGGGCUUUUAUUUGUUUGUAUCUUAUAUUGUUCGAUACACUUUUUUGAGAGAGGGAUAUGGAGUUUCCCUUCUUGGCUACACACUCUGAUAUGUUUCAUAUAUUGAAUGGAAGACAAGGUUCAAGGCCUGCACGGCAACGGUUCAAGUCCGCCAUCUUCACUCUUCGAUGCAUCUCAUGCUUCAUGCGUUUUGUUGCAUUGACAUCGUUCUUUGACUUAUUGACACAAGCAAGACUGUAAAGUAAGACAUUCCAUUCCGCUUUUUUGUGGAGUGGUUAUAGAUUUCAAGAUACAGCUGAAAGUAUGAGCAACCCUGUGGCGCGUAUUUCAUGUAUGUGCCACUUGGCGAAUAGAAAGUAACUAAGGGCGUAUGGCGGAUGCCUAGGCUCACGGAGGCGAUGAAGGACGUGAUAAGCUGCGAUAAGCUCCGGGUAGGUGCAAAUGACCUUUGAUCCGGUGAUUUCCGAAUGGGACAACCCAGCACUCUGAAGGAGUGUUAUCCUGAUUUUUGUUCA
rnacentral:misc_RNA from 1 species